CCUACGGGCGGCAGCAGUGGGGAAUAUUGGACAAUGGGCGAAAGCCUGAUCCAGCCAUGCCGCGUGUGUGAAGAAGGCCUUCGGGUUGUAAAGCACUUUCAGUGGGGAAGAAAGCCUUGGGGCUAAUACCCUCGAGGAAGGACAUCACCCACAGAAGAAGCACCGGCUAACUCCGUGCCAGCAGCCGCGGUAAUACGGAGGGUGCGAGCGUUAAUCGGAAUUACGGGGCGUAAAGCGCGCGUAGGCGGUCUGAUAAGCCGGUUGUGAAAGCCCCGGGCUCAACCUGGGAACGGCAUCCGGAACUGUCAGGCUAGAGUGCAGGAGAGGAAGGUAGAAUUCCCGGUGUAGCGGUGAAAUGCGUAGAGAUCGGGAGGAAUACCAGUGGCGAAGGCGGCCUUCUGGACUGACACUGACGCUGAGGUGCGAAAGCGUGGGUAGCAAACAGGAUUAGAUACCCCUGUAGUC
rnacentral:rRNA from 1 species